CAAUAGCGUAUAUUUAAGUUGUUGCAGUUAAAAAGCUCGUAGUUGGAUUUCGGUUAAGAGCGACCGGUCCGCCGUUUGGUGUGCACUGGUUGGUUUUAACUUCCUGUAGAGGACGUGCUCUGGGUUUAACGACCUGGACUCGGAGUCUACGUGGUUACUUUGAAAAAAUUAGAGUGUUCAAAGCGGGCUUACGCUUGAAUAUUUCAGCAUGGAAUAACACUAUAGGACUCCUGUCCUAUUUCGUUGGUCUCGGGACGGGAGUAAUGAUUAAGAGGAACAGUUGGGGGCAUUCGUAUUUCAUUGUCAGAGGUGAAAUUCUUGGAUUUAUGAAAGACGAACUUCUGCGAANGNAUUUGCNAAGGAUGUUUNCAUUA
rnacentral:rRNA from 1 species